AUUGAACGCUGGCGGCACGCUUUACACAUGCAAGUCGAACGGUAACAGGUUAAGCUGACGAGUGGCGAACGGGUGAGUAAUGCAUCGGAACGUGCCCGGUCGUGGGGGAUAACGCAGCGAAAGCUGCGCUAAUACCGCAUACGACCUGAGGAUGAAAGCGGGGGACCGUAAGGCCUCGCGCGAUCGGAGCGGCCGAUGUCAGAUUAGGUAGUUGGCGGGGUAAAGACUCACCAAGCCAACGAUCUGUAGCUGGUCUGAGAGGACGACCAGCCACACUGGGACUGAGACACGGCCCAGACUCCUACGGGAGGCAGCAGUGGGGAAUUUUGGACAAUGGGCGAAAGCCUGAUCCAGCCAUUCCGCGUGAGUGAAGAAGGCCUUCGGGUUGUAAAGCUCUUUCGCAGGAGAAGAAAACUUACCCUCUAACAUAGGGUGAGGUUGACGGUAUCUUGAUAAGAAGCACCGGCUAACUACGUGCCAGCAGCCGCCGUAA
rnacentral:rRNA from 1 species